UCUUCCCUCUGGCGGCGUGCUUAACACAUGCAAGUCGAACGGAAAGGCCCAAGCUUGCUUGGGUACUCGAGUGGCGAACGGGUGAGUAACACGUGGGUGAUCUGCCCCGCACUUCGGGAUAAGCCUGGGAAACUGGGUCUAAUACCGGAUAGGACAGUGGUUUGGAUGCCAUUGUGGAAAGUUUUUUCGGUGUGGGAUGAGCUCGCGGCCUAUCAGCUUGUUGGUGGGGUAAUGGCCUACCAAGGCGUCAACGGGUAGCCGGCCUGAGAGGGUGUACGGCCACAUUGGGACUGAGAUACGGCCCAGACUCCUACGGGAGGCAGCAGUGGGGAAUAUUGCACAAUGGGCGCAAGCCUGAUGCAGCGACGCCGCGUGGGGGAUGACGGCCUUCGGGUUGUAAACUCCUUUCGCUAGGGACGAAGCGUUAUGUGACGGUACCUAGAGAAGAAGCACCGGCUAACUACGUG
rnacentral:rRNA from 1 species